UUCCGGUUGAUCCUGGCGGAGGCUACUGCUAUUGGGGUUCGAUUAAGCCAUGCAAGUUGAACGAUUCUUCGGAAUCGUGGCGAACGGCUCAGUAACACGUGGAUAACCUACCCUUAGGACCGGUAUAACCCUGGGAAACUGGGGACAAUCCCGGAUAGGUGAUUUUUUCUGUAAUGAUUUUUCAUUUAAAUGCUCCGGCGCCUGAGNAUGGGUCUGCGGCAGAUUAGGUAGUUGGUAGGGUAAUGGCCUACCAAGCCGGUGAUCUGUACGGGUUGUGAGAGCA
rnacentral:rRNA from 1 species